CGCCGCCUACCACAUCCAGCACGCGCCCUCGCCCUCCUGGGCCGCCUCCUCCGCCACCACCCUCGCCGCCUGUCGCUGUUGCUGUGCCACUCCCCCACCAGCCUCCACCAUGCAGAACGAGGUGGGUGACAUGGUGGACCUCUACGUCCCCAGGAAGUGCUCAGCCACCAACAGGAUCAUCACGGCCAAGGACCACGCCUCUGUCCAGAUCAUCAUUGGUCACGUUGAUGAGAAUGGCCUCUAUGAUGGCCGCUUCACCACCUUGGAU